rnacentral:rRNA from 1 species
GUUUGAUCAUGGCUCAGAUUGAACGCUGGCGGCAUGCCUUACACAUGCAAGUCGAACGGCAGCACGGGAGCAAUCCUGGUGGCGAGUGGCGAACGGGUGAGUAAUAUAUCGGAACGUGCCCAGUCGUGGGGGAUAACGCAGCGAAAGCUGUGCUAAUACCGCAUACGAUCUACGGAUGAAAGCGGGGGAUCGCAAGACCUCGCGCGAUUGGAGCGGCCGAUAUCAGAUUAGCUAGUUGGCGGGGUAAAGGCCCACCAAGGCGACGAUCUGUAGCUGGUCUGAGAGGACGACCAGCCACACUGGAACUGAGACACGGUCCAGACUCCUACGGGAGGCAGCAGUGGGGAAUUUUGGACAAUGGGCGCAAGCCUGAUCCAGCAAUGCCGCGUGCAGGAUGAAGGCCUUCGGGUUGUAAACUGCUUUUGUACGGAACGAAACGGUCUCUUCUAAUACAGGGGGCUAAUGACGGUACCGUAAGAAUAAGCACCGGCUAACUACGUGCCAGCAGCCGCGGUAAUACGUAGGGUGCAAGCGUUAAUCGGAAUUACUGGGCGUAAAGCGUGCGCAGGCGGUUAUAUAAGACAGAUGUGAAAUCCCCGGGCUCAACCUGGGACCUGCAUUUGUGACUGUAUAGCUAGAGUACGGUAGAGGGGGAUGGAAUUCCGCGUGUAGCAGUGAAAUGCGUAGAUAUGCGGAGGAACACCGAUGGCGAAGGCAAUCCCCUGGACCUGUACUGACGCUCAUGCACGAAAGCGUGGGGAGCAAACAGGAUUAGAUACCCUGGUAGUCCACGCCCUAAACGAUGUCAACUGGUUGUUGGGUCUUCACUGACUCAGUAACGAAGCUAACGCGUGAAGUUGACCGCCUGGGGAGUACGGCCNCAAGGUUGAAACUCAAAGGAAUU